AGUGGCGGCGGCGGCGGGUCCGGAGGUGGCGGCAGGUGGCCCCGCGCGCGGCGGCCGGCCCGGCCGGGGGCGGGCGGGAAGGUGGCGCCUCGGGCGGGGGCCGGUCCCUGCACCAGGUGACCUGUUCCGGCCCGGAUCCGGGCGGCCUCGCCAUGCAGCGGCGCGGCGCGGGGCUCGGGUGGCCGCGGCAGCAGCAGCAGCAACCCCCGCCGCUCGCGGUCGGCCCCCGGGCCGCAGCCAUGGUCCCCCCGAGUGGUGGCGUUCCCCGGGGCCUCGGCGGCCGCCCUGCCUGCGCGCUGCUCCUGCUCUGCUACCUGAUGUGGUUGCCCUGCUUGGCUUUCCUUAUGCCUCCAGUGGAGAAAACACAGGCAUUGUCAAGAAGUUCCCGAGGUUUCGGAACCGAGAGCUGGAGGCCACUCGACGCCAGAGGAUGGAUUACCCAGUGUUUACUGUUUCAUUGUGGCUGUAUUUACUCCAUUAUUGCAAGGCCAACCUCUGUGGGAUUCUGUACUUUGUUGACUCUAAUGAGAUGUACGGCACACCUUCUGUAUUUCUUACGGAAGAGGGCUAUUUGCAUAUUCAGAUGCAUCUUGUCAAAGGGGAAGACCUUGCUG
rnacentral:sRNA from 1 species